AGCCCUUCACAGAAAUGGAAUAUACUCAAAACCUAUUGCAAUUAAAUAUUCUAUUGAGACAUAAGGACAAAUGCACAAAUUACUGCAGGUUUCAAUUUUCAAAUCCAAGCUUAGAGAAGUGUUAUUGCACAAAGUUUAAAAGGUAACCUAAAAUAUUCUGCAGACUAGCCAGUAAUGAAUAAUAAAAAAAGGUUAAUUUAAGCAUACAUACUGAUGCACAAAAAAAGCACAGAAGCAGAAAGCGCUCAGGUGCACAUAAUUGUGACUACCAAUUGUGCAUAAGUGAUCAUUAAUGCGGUCAAUUGCUUAUAUUGUUAGUAUGUACUUAUACAUUAUUAGCUGUCUCAUGGUCUUAUGUUUUUUAUGUUUAAGUCGCUUGUUAUUUAGUUAUUGGCUAUCUACUGUAUGAGAUAUUUCUAAUCUUGGAACAAAACUGGAAUAAAGGCACGCCCCGAUUGCGGCUCUCGUAAGAACUUUAUUCAACACACACGGUAAUCAGCAUUUGGGCCCCCAUUAGGACAACAAUGCAUUCGACUGCACCUGCAUACACAUGCUUGGGGAUUACCUAGAUUACUUAAUGUGAUGUCAUCAGGCAGAGAAAGGUGCACCAAACAUUUAAUGGUUUCCUCUUGUUUUAACUCAGUUUGCUCUCUUAUCACCAAUUGAAGCUAAAUGAUUUCUUGCUUAAAUAAAUUAUAUUGGUGAGGUUGGCCACCCAGUCUUCAGCAUUACACUCACCUGAUUGGUGAUUGGUAAUUACCUUCCAGGUGGAGCCAACAAAACCAAAUUAACUCUUCCUCUAUUUAAAUGCUUCUUACAGCACAUGUGCCUGAUUGCUUGUGCGAGAAGGUAGACAGUUUGCCAGAUAAAUGUCUUGGUGUUUGCGUCCUCUUAAAACAGCUCUAGAUACUGAUUUGGAAAAUGCAGAAGGGACUGGUCUAGAAUGAUUAGCAAAGGCCUGGUCCAGUGGCAAAUGCAUAAAGAGAAUGGCGUCACAGCCUGGAAAAAUGGAUUUCCUGAGCUUCUGGUACCCAAUGACACCCUCCCCGUGGACCAGGUGUGUCACAGGGUGAAAGGGGGCCUCCGGUUCAUGCAGGCCGCUCUCGAAAUUGUCCGAGGACAGCAGGAAGAGCUCAAUCCUAUGGCCACGGAACUGGACUUCAGUCUCGGAAACGUGACGGAGUUGGUCCGGUCCAAUCUCCUUCCUCUGAUUUCGGCCAAGGCGUGCCCCGAGGCCACCGCCCAGGCCACCCCAGCCACUCCGCCCGCCCCGACCACCCCAACCAUCUGGCACACUGACAAAAAGAAGCGAUGGGGUCACACCGUGCUGAAAUUAUCGAAUACGUUCUUGGCCUGGUUGGCAGAGUGGCUGAACCAACGUCCAUUAAAAAAUCACCUAUAGAAAUCACGUCACCUAUAUAAAUCCAUUUUAUUACUGCCACUGUAAUUGGGGGGGGGUGGUAUCUGGACAAAAGAAGUCUCGACCACUCUUUUUGGAUAGAAUGUAAAUUUCUACUUUACCCUGAUUCAGUUUUGCAUACUGCUGAAUUUUGAUUAAUUUUAAUUUAUUUAAUUUAUUUAAUUUAAUUUUUAAAUUAACUUUGAUUUUAAUUAUUCAUCCAUCCUGCAAUUGGCCUAUGUCUACACUUGAUAUUUACCUGAUUCUAGAUGAGUGGCUAUUGUUAAUCUAACACAAAUCAUAAUAGCACCCAGUGGUUAUUUUUUCUUUUUUUUUUGUGUUUAAAAAAUACGUUCAGAGCUGGCUUUGUGGUGAGCUCUUGAUUAUGCUUGAAAAAAAAAAUGGUAUGCAAAAUAGAAUCAUGCCACACAACCCAUGAACGCACACAUCUGUGAACUUGACUGCUUGCAUUAUGAUUCCUGAUGUACUAUUUAUGUCAUAUGUCUCAUGUUUACAUACUCUGUGCCUUUUAUUACUGUAUUAGGAUAUUUAUCCAGCUUGCAGCUGAUAUGAGGUUUUAUAUUUUUUGUACUGGAUAUUCACUAGAAACUAUUAAGGUUACGGAGGAGUUUGUAUGUUUUAUAUUUAAAUAUUUUACUAAAUUAUUUCUGUUUUUAUGUGAAAUGUAUCGUGCUGAAAUGUUUCUCGAGGUCAAGAUGUAUUUGUAUUUUAUUUAAUCUCUGUAAACCCUCUCUCCCCAAUGCCCACCCCUACCCCUGUUGUCCUGUGGUGAUCAUUCAAACAGUCAUAUUUUGUUAAUGUUGACCU